UUGAGCGGCCGAUAUCAGAUUAGCUAGUUGGUGAGGUAAAGGCUCACCAAGGCGACGAUCUGUAGCGGGUCUGAGAGGAUGAUCCGCCACACUGGAACUGAGACACGGUCCAGACUCCUACGGGAGGCAGCAGUGGGGAAUUUUGGACAAUGGGGGCAACCCUGAUCCAGCCAUGCCGCGUGAGUGAAGAAGGCCUUCGGGUUGUAAAGCUCUUUCGGCCGGGAAGAAAUCGCAUGGGCUAAUACCCUGUGCGGAUGACGGUACCGGCAUAAGAAGCACCGGCUAACUACGUGCCAGCAGCCGCGGUAAUACGUAGGGUGCGAGCGUUAAUCGGAAUUACUGGGCGUAAAGCGUGCGCAGGCGGUUUUGUAAGACAGGCGUGAAAUCCCCGGGCUCAACCUGGGAACUGCGUUUGAAACUACAAGGCUAG
rnacentral:rRNA from 1 species